UACGGGGGGAGCAAGCGUUGUUCGGAUUUACUGGGCGUAAAGGGCGCGUAGGCGGUCAGCACAAGUCAGUUGUGAAAUCUCCGGGCUUAACUCGGAAAGGUCAACUGAUACUGUGCGACUAGAGUGCGGAAGGGGCAACUGGAAUUCCAGGUGUAGCGGUGAAAUGCGUAGAUAUCUGGAGGAACACCGGUGGCGAAGGCGGCUUUCUGGACAAAUACCGACGCUGAGGCACGAAAGCUAGGGGAGCAAACAGG
rnacentral:rRNA from 1 species